UGCAUAUUUUUAGAUCCUGAUGCAGAUGACAGCCCUUCAAAAGCUAAAGUUCAGCAUGUGGAUACAUCACUUAGUAAUGAAGAAAAAAAAGGCUGUAAAAUUAAGGAUGGAAGAAUGCCAGACCCUAGUCUAGAUGAAAGGAAUGUUCAAGAGGAGCAGGAAAAAAGUCAGAAAAAACAGGCAAAACCAGAAGAGAAGUUUGAACCUAAUAGAGAUAUUGAAAACAGCAAAGGCAACAUGGAUGAAGAGAGCAGCAAAGAUUACAACUCAGAAAAGUGUGAGACCACUAAACUAUCUCAGGAAGACAAUGAGGAAGUUGAGCAAGAAUUUACAGCAAAUCCUGAAGAAUUCACUAGUCAAGAAGAACUGUUGAAUUAUUUGCAAAGAUACUGA
rnacentral:lncRNA from 14 species